rnacentral:ribozyme from 1 species
CAAGCCAUUUUGGCUCAAGCCCUCCCAGCCU